GUCCCCACUCUCUGGAUUUACAGUAAAAUAAUCCUUCUCUGCGCUGACCCUUAGCUUCCGGGUGGGCAGAUUCUGGACACUGAGCCCCAGAUCCCUUGCGAGGUUUCCUACUAUCGAGUUCUUGGCCAGCUCCUCGGGAAUGGAGUAGCGGAUCUGAUCCGCGAGAGCUCCGUGGAACAAAAGCAACAGGAAAGGCGACAGUACCUGCAGCCACCAGGCCGGACCGCUCCCAGAGCCCCUCCUCAUCCUCCUGGCUCGCGCCGCCGCUCUGCUCCUUUGUUGGUGAGGGUGGCCAAAUCCUCCUAGGGCCACUUUUCUUGCUGAUGUUUGCUGUAUCUAGAUGCGUACUGGCUCUCCUCUACGGUUGGUUUGUACAGGAAGUUACUCUCCCAGUUUCCUAACGCGUCUGGGAAAUGGUCUAGCUCUUCUUUUGACCUACAGCGACGCUCAGAGGUUUUCUCAGAAAUUGCAACGAAGUCUAGCAAAGGUGAUGUUCCCCUGACGUGUGAUGGCCC
rnacentral:lncRNA from 1 species